AAUGAACGCUGGCGGCGCGCCUAAUACAUGCAAGUCGAGCGAGAAGACGUAGCAAUACGUUUGUAAAGCGGCGAACGGGUGAGGAAUACAUGGGUAACCUACCCUAGAGUGGGGAAUAACUAGCCGAAAGGUUAGCUAAUACCGCGUACGCUCCUUGGACUUCGGUUCAGGGAGGAAAGCGAUACCGAGGGUAUCGCGCUCUUGGAUGGGCUCAUGUCCUAUCAGCUUGUUGGGAGGUAACGGCUCACCAAGGCUUCGACGGGUAGCUGGUCUGAGAGGACGAUCAGCCACACUGGCACUGCGACACGGGCCAGACUCCUACGGGAGGCAGCAGUAAGGAAUAUUGCGCAAUGGGCGAAAGCCUGACGCAGCGACGCCGCGUGGGGGA
rnacentral:rRNA from 1 species